GAUGAACGCUGGCGGCGUGCCUAACACAUGCGAGUCGAGCGGCAGCGAGGGGUGCUUGCACCCUGUCGGCGAGCGGCGGACGGCUGAGUAACGCGUGGGAACGUGCCCCAAAGUGAGGAAUAACUGCCCGAAAGGGUAGCUAAUACCGCAUAUUAUCUUCGGAUCAAAGGAUUUAUCCGCUUUGGGAGCGGCUCGCGUCGGAUUAGGUAGUUGGUGAGGUAAUGGCUCACCAAGGCGACGAUCCGUAGCUGGUCUGAGAGGAUGACCAGCCAGACUGGAACUGGGACGCAGUCCGGACUCCUACGGGAGGCAGCAGUGAGGAAUCUUCCACAAUGGGCGAAGGCCUGAUGGAGCAACGCCGCGUGCAGGACGAAGGCCUUCGGGUUGUAAAGUGCUUUUAUAAGUGAGGAAUAUGACGGUAACUUAUGAAUAAGGAUCGGCUAACUACGUG
rnacentral:rRNA from 1 species